ACUCUGUUCCCUUGGCCUGUUGAUGCUGAACUUGGCCGCAUUGUUUUCUUAGUCAACUGAGAACAGGAGUGAUAUUUGGUGCUGCUGGGUAAAAGCCGUAAAAAUUCUCAGGCGGAGCCCAUUUACUUUCCCUUCCGUUUCUGCCAUGAAACCAGCUUGCCCUGAUAGACACCAGGUCUUAAAUCUCCAGCUUGAAUCCCAGGUCCCUGGGAUCAAACUCAGACCGUCAAACUCUCUGUGACAACAAGAAGCCGAGACCUCCCUUCUUUAUCCACACGGAGAGAGUGGAGCGUGAACUGGGCGUGAGCCGAGGCUAUGAACACUCCAAGCCCGCUCUUCCAACCAGGCUGGAUCACCCUGACGGUUCCGUAACCUCCCGAAACAGCACCACCAUGUUCAAGUGCCUAAGCCUAGAGGGGACACUGUCAUCCAAACCACCACAAACCCCAAGGACCACCGCCCCCAGGGCCUCCCUCCUUGUGCAGGCCACACCUCCUAGGUAGUAUGUUCAAAAUGUGAGCCUGUGGGGUGGGGCAUGCUCUCACCAUAUUGAACAGCGGCGGCAGAGUGAAUGCAAGCCUGCACCACUUGUAGAUGCUAUGAGAACACAGGCCCUGAGCGCAUCCAUUCCACAUCACCUGGAACUAAUUCUGACACAAGGGCUAAGGAACCGUUCCCGAUUAGAGACUGAUGAGACACGACAGCCGAAGGAAAAGCACCAUCCUGUACUGGAGCCUGGGGCGGGGCAGAAGUUAUAGAGGACAUAGUUUGGUAAAUUGAUGGCAUUUGAAUAUAAACUUUGGAUUGGAUAAUAGUACUUUUUGACAAUAAAUUUCCUAAUUUUAGUAA